CACAAUAAAAUAUGAAGGCUGUACGCGGCUGUGCUCUCGGGCCAGUUUUGCGGAGGCUGAAUUAUUUAUUACCCUUGUCUUUUGCGCACUUGUUGUUUCCUGGGCGGGUUCGCCCGCCACCAGGACCACAUCAUAAACCUUUUUUAUGCAGUUGCAAUCAGCGUCAGUAUAACAAACGUAAAUCAUUUA
rnacentral:misc_RNA from 1 species